rnacentral:misc_RNA from 1 species
GAUGAAGAACGCAGCGAAAUGCGAUAAGUAAUGUGAAUUGCAGAAUUCAGUGAAUCAUCGAAUCUUUGAACGCACAUUGCGCCCCCUGGUAUUCCGGGGGGCAUGCCUGUCCGAGCGUCAUUACAACCCUCAAGCUCUGCUUGGUGUUGGGCCCCGCCGCCCCGGCGGGCCCUAAAGUCAGUGGCGGUGCCAUCCGGCUCCGAGCGUAGUAAUUCUUCUCGCUCUGGAGGUCCGGUUGUGUGCUUGCCAUCAACCCCCAAUUUUUUUCAGGUUGACCUCGGAUCAGGUAGGGAUACCCGCUGAACUUAAGCAUAUCAAUAAGCGGAGGA